rnacentral:rRNA from 1 species
UACAGAGGGUGCUAGCGUUGUUCGGAAUCAUUGGGCGUAAAGGGCGUGUAGGCGGUUUGUUAAGUCAUGUGUGAAAUCCCUCGGCUCAACCGAGGAAAGACGCAUGAAACUGGCAAGCUAGAGUACCGAAGAGGGGGGUGGAAUUCCCGGUGUAGCGGUGAAAUGCGUAGAUAUCGUAAGGAAGACCAGUGGCGAAGGCGGGUCUCUGGACAGUUCCUGACGCUGAGGCACGAAGGUCAGGGGAGCAAACGGG